rnacentral:rRNA from 1 species
CAGGGAUUGCCUUAGUAACGGCGAGUGAAGCGGCAAAAGCUCAAAUUUGAAAUCUGGCACCUUCGGUGUCCGAGUUGUAAUUUGAAGAAGGUAACUUUGGAGUUGGCUCUUGUCUAUGUUCCUUGGAACAGGACGUCACAGAGGGUGAGAAUCCCGUGCGAUGAGAUGCCCAAUUCUAUGUAAAGUGCUUUCGAAGAGUCGAGUUGUUUGGGAAUGCAGCUCUAAGUGGGUGGUAAAUUCCAUCUAAAGCUAAAUAUUGGCGAGAGACCGAUAGCGAACAAGUACAGUGAUGGAAAGAUGAAAAGAACUUUGAAAAGAGAGUGAAAAAGUACGUGAAAUUGUUGAAAGGGAAGGGCUUGAGAUCAGACUUGGUAUUUUGCGAUCCUUUCCUUCUUGGUUGGGUUCCUCGCAGCUUACUGGGCCAGCAUCGGUUUGGAUGGUAGGAUAAUGACUAAGGAAUGUGGCUCUACUUCGGUGGAGUGUUAUAGCCUUGGUUGAUACUGCCUGUCUAGACCGAGGACUGCGUCUUUU